UGCCCCAUAGUGUAACUGGCCAUCACAUGAGAUUUUGGCUCUCAUAAUAUAGGUUCAAGUCCUAUUGGGGUAA
rnacentral:tRNA from 1 species